GACGAACGCUGGCGGCGUGCUUAACACAUGCAAGUCGAACGGUAAGGCCCUUCGGGGUAUACGAGUGGCGAACGGGUGAGUAACACGUGGGUGAUCUGCCCUGCACUUCGGGAUAAGCCUGGGAAACUGGGUCUAAUACCGGAUAGGACUCCGGACUGCAUGGUCUGGGGUGGAAAGCUUUUGCGGUGUGGGAUGGGCCCGCGGCCUAUCAGCUUGUUGGUGGGGUGAUGGCCUACCAAGGCGACGACGGGUAGCCGGCCUGAGAGGGUGACCGGCCACACUGGGACUGAGAUACGGCCCAGACUCCCACGGGAGGCAGCAGUGGGGAAUAUUGCACAAUGGGCGCAAGCCUGAUGCAGCGACGCCGCGUGAGGGAUGACGGCCUUCGGGUUGUAAACCUCUUUCAGCAUCGACGAAGCGAAAGUGACGGUAGGUGCAGAAGAAGGACCGGCCAACUACGUGCCAGCAGCCGCGGUAA
rnacentral:rRNA from 1 species